rnacentral:rRNA from 1 species
GCUUAACACAUGCAAGUCGAGGGGCAGCAUGGUCUUAGCUUGCUAAGGCCGAUGGCGACCGGCGCACGGGUGAGUAACACGUAUCCAACCUGCCGUCUACUCUUGGACAGCCUUCUGAAAGGAAGAUUAAUACAAGAUGGCAUCAUGAGUCCGCAUGUUCACAUGAUUAAAGGUAUUCCGGUAGACGAUGGGGAUGCGUUCCAUUAGAUAGUAGGCGGGGUAACGGCCCACCUAGUCUUCGAUGGAUAGGGGUUCUGAGAGGAAGGUCCCCCACAUUGGAACUGAGACACGGUCCAAACUCCUACGGGAGGCAGCAGUGAGGAAUAUUGGUCAAUGGGCGAGAGCCUGAACCAGCCAAGUAGCGUGAAGGAUGACUGCCCUAUGGGUUGUAAACUUCUUUUAUAAAGGAAUAAAGUCGGGUAUGGAUACCCGUUUGCAUGUACUUUAUGAAUAAGGAUCGGCUAACUCCGUGCCAGCAGCCGCGGUAAUACGGAGGAUCCGAGCGUUAUCCGGAUUUAUUGGGUUUAAAGGGAGCGUAGAUGGAUGUUUAAGUCAGUUGUGAAAGUUUGCGGCUCAACCGUAAAAUUGCAGUUGAUACUGGAUAUCUUGAGUGCAGUUGAGGCAGGCGGAAUUCGUGGUGUAGCGGUGAAAUGCUUAGAUAUCACGAAGAACUCCGAUUGCGAAGGCAGCCUGCUAAGCUGCAACUGACAUUGAGGCUCGAAAGUGUGGGUAUCAAACAGGAUUAGAUACCCUGGUAGUCCACACGGUAAACGAUGAAUACUCGCUGUUUGCGAUAUACAGCAAGCGGCCAAGCGAAAGCGUUAAGUAUUCCACCUGGGGAGUACGCCGGCAACGGUGAAACUCAAAGGAAUUGACGGGGGCCCGCACAAGCGGAGGAACAUGUGGUUUAAUUCGAUGAUACGCGAGGAACCUUACCCGGGCUUAAAUUGCAGAUGAAUUACGGUGAAAGCCGUAAGCCGCAAGGCAUCUGUGAAGGUGCUGCAUGGUUGUCGUCAGCUCGUGCCGUGAGGUGUCGGCUUAAGCGCCAUAACGAGCGCAACCCUUGUUGUCAGUUACUAACAGGUUCCGCUGAGGACUCUGACAAGACUGCCAUCGUAAGAUGUGAGGAAGGUGGGGAUGACGUCAAAUCAGCACGGCCCUUACGUCCGGGGCUACACACGUGUUACAAUGGGGGGUACAGAGGGCCGCUACCACGCGAGUGGAUGCCAAUCCCCAAAACCUCUCUCAGUUCGGACUGGAGUCUGCAACCCGACUCCACGAAGCUGGAUUCGCUAGUAAUCGCGCAUCAGCCACGGCGCGGUGAAUACGUUCCCGGGCCUUGUACACACCGCCCGUCAAGCCAUGGGAGCCGGGGGUACCUGAAGUGCGUAACCGCGAGGAGCGCCCUAGGGUAAAACUGGUGACUGGGGCU